GGGGGUGGAAACUGGGAUUAAAUUUUAAAUCCACCAUGGAUUUAUCUUGUGAACUUGGUCAGGUCGAUUGUUGGCUGUUUACAUGGAAGCUGCUAGAAAUAAUUUGGAGACACGGUAGUAUAUCUGCCAUUGAAAAUGAACCUCUGGGAUAACAACAGGGUGAGAGAUUUUACAUAAUUAAGGAGGUUAAGCAAAACUCGGGGGGGGGGCAGCUUGAUAAUAUAGUUCCUGAUUGAUAAACAAGUAACAUGAUCAGAAUAAAAAUAUUAGGGGUGAGGAGAAGAGUUAGCAAUUGAAGGAGAACACCCCUCUGUAAUGGUUGUUGAUUGUUUACUCAUUUUUCUCCAUUUUAUAUUUGCUGUAGGGGGAACAAUUAGAGAGGGCAUUUUCCAGGCAUUUGAUGACACUCUCAAGAAAGAAACAUUGUUUGUUACUGUUAUUGUUAAAAUGCAAUUUGGAAAUUGAGCUUCUGCAUGUUUGCUUGUGUCAUGAGAAGCCAUGAUCAGAGCGGGGAGUUAAUAAAUGAAGCUCUCAGUGUUACGUAUUUCUAUGCUAACAAAAGAAUGUCUCUUUUUACUUGUAUCUUUUACUUCUGUAUCGCUGUAAUACGACUAAAUAAUGUAGCUGAGGAAUGCAACUGUUGACUCUACCAAAUGUAUCACCUUUUGUAUCUUUCAAAAAAGUGUUUUUCUUAUCAAAUGUAUCACCUUUUGUAUCUUUCAAAAAAGUGUUUUCUUACACUAGAAAAUGUAAUUAUAAUAGAAAAAUGUAACUGGAAGAAUGUAGCCAAAAUAUUUUAUAUUCUACGUGACUUUCCAUUGCUGUAUACUUGGUCUGUCAAUAUUCUGCUGUUCACAAACUGUCAAAAUACCUUCAAGCACCACAGCGCCACCUACUGGGUCUACAAAUGACAUCGUGAAUACACACAAAAUGCAACAUAAAAUCAGUUUACUUAAUAAAAGUAUGCAGAGCGGAAACUUCACACCAGCAAUGAUAAACAUGCAGAAACAGGACUUCACACCAAGACUGAUAACCGUUUCCCAAAUAUCCAGCCAUUUAAACUGCAUACCGAUCAUCCCAAAACCUCCGGAAUUCCUUCCUGAAAAUGAAGCAAAAACAGAACUGUGAGUCAAGAUCCGCUGAAGGGGAAAAACCACUCAACACCUUUUGUUCCCAACCUCAAAGCCGACAUCUUCAUUAACACCACCCAAGAUCUUACAACAUCCCACUUACCUUAUGUUAAUCUUCUAUUCGUGCCAUUUCUGUCAUUUUUCUGUAUCAUUGAUCUGUAUGGAAAUGAAAAGGUAUUUAAGUAAAGGCAGUUCCUUUGUUCAAGGUUCUCACUCCGUCCUUCUGUUACGCGAGUGGGAACCCUAUUGCAACAGUCUUCUGUUCUUUGAAAAUAAAGAUCAGACUUUGCUUUUUCGCCAAUCCUGAUCUCUGUUAUUUCCCGACCGGUUCGGAGCCACCACAAGAGUCCGGUCCUCCUUACGAGGCUAGGACCCCCUUGGGGAAGCAAUAAUAUUUAUUUCACUUGUGUUCGCAUUACAGCUGAAAGGUUUCUUACCAUGCUAUGUGCUCUAGUCCUGCAAAAAGGUCAAGUAUAAUAAUUAAAAACUAGAUGAAUACAGGAGUCCAGAGCUUUGUGCUGUCCUUUUGCUUCUGUCCUUCUUGUAAGCGACCUUCUGCAGAGGAGAGCAUCCCAGCUUGAUUGUGCAGCUGGCCAUUCCUCUAUUUCCCUAAAGACCCAUCUUGCUCUAGGAGAUUGAACUCAGACAAGGCAAGAGGCAGGCUUCCAAGAGAAUCAUAUUCACAAAGAAUUAUUCCUCUGUUAAUAAAUUUCACAAAGCAAGCCCGGUUCAUUUGCUAAUAUAUAAGCCUGCGGUGCAACAUGUUUUUUACAGAGGCUGUCUCAUCCAAAAUGAAGAUGGUGCUUUAUGCUAACAAGCAAGCCAGCUUCACAAACCAUGGCUUGAAGGUGGGCUGUUUGAAGCUGGCCAUAGGUAGCAUUAAAUCACGAUCCCCUCUUCAGACAAAGCGAGAAGGCAUGGUUAACAAAAAAUGGAAAAGAACGCUUCUGCAAGCCUCUUCUUGGCAACGCAAGAGGAAGAGAAGGGACUGUUUGAGUCUGGAAAGACACCAAGCUCAUUCCUGCAGUGCUAAGCCACAGUUCAGCAAUAUGUCCAAAAAGUCCCAGGAGUACAGCUUUUGUAUCAAUAAAAUGUUAACUAAAGUCAAAUAACAGUUCAUGUUAAAGCUGUGAUUGCAAUACAGUGGUACCUCGGGUUACAUACGCAUCAGGUUACAUACGCUUCAGGUUACAGACUCUGCUAAGCCAGAAAUAGUGCUUCAGGUUAAGAACUUUGCUUCAGGAUGAGAACAGAAAUCGUGCUCCGGCAGCGCAGCAGCAGCAGGAGGCCCCAUUAGCUAAAGUGGUGCUUCAGGUUAAUAACAGUUUCAGGUUAAGUACGGACCUCCGGAACAAAUUAAGUGCUUAACCCGAGGUACCACUGUAUUGUUUUUUGGGAGGAGUUUUUUUUUUGGAAGCCCAUUGGUUUUUGUUGGACCCUGCUGGACACACUGGACUUUGCUGAACUUGCUGGACCCUACUGAACUGGUUGACUGCGCUGGACUUCUUGGACUGAACUUGUUAGAUCUUGCUGAAUUUAUUUGACCUUGGUGAACUUUGGUGGGCCUGGCUGGGCCGCUUUGAAUCUUAUUGGACCUUGCUGGACUUUGCUGCAUUUUGUUGAGACUUGUUGGCUUUCAGCUGCAUAAAGUAGCCAGUGCUGGUGCCCAUUGGGGCAGAAGGCAGGGAGACCAGCAAUAGGUGGAGCAAGAGCAGGCGCCUGGAGGAGAGUCAACAAAUUACUGUUUCGUUUUGUCCCCAUCCUCCUCCCUGCACAAGGCGAUGUUGAGACUAAGGAGGUUGGUGCCCGCCACCACCACCCUGAGCUGGUUGCAAGUAGGAAGACAAGCAGAUGGUGGCUGAUGAGACCAGGCUGAGUUUGGAGGGGCAGUUCCCCAUUUGCCCCUCCUGGGCCACUGGCUAGUCUCCUCUGUAAGUAACAACAUUUAGGAACCUUUAUAUCUUAUCUUGUUGGGAUUUGAAUAUUAGAAAUAAAUAGAUGGGUGUGUCUUCUUUUCAUACUUACUAUGGAAAGUAUACCGUACUUCAAUGCCAUGAUCAUACAAGAGGCAGUUUUGAACAUGAAUGGGAACAGGAUCUCGGCAAAUCAAUCACUACAAAAAAAGUGGAAUUACUGUAGUUAAGAAAUGUGAUGCUAGUAACUCUUGAAGAAUAGUUUAAUUUUUGAUAGCUCACCAACCUUUAAAGAACUGUAUUGGAUGCCGAUUUGCUACUGAGCCAAAUUUAAGGUGCUUUUGUUGACUUAUACAGUUGUAAACAACUCAGGGACUGGAUAUCUGAAGAAACCCCUGCCUUUAUGUUAAUAUUUUAUUGUGCAGCAGUUUGCAAUUGUUUUUAUUAAAGAUUGUGCAUCUGUAUAUAUGUGCACUGGCCUGGUAUCAUUUUGUAGGAAGGGCAGUAUAAAUAUAAAAUUUCCACUGUCACAUCUAGUUUGGCCCUUAGAAGAUUAUAAGCUUAGUUACAGACCGAUUUACCUUUUUUCAUAUACUUUGAUUACCUGGGGCCAAAGAAGAGUCUGAUGCCAAUUUGCACAUUGUACUGUGAUGCAACAUUGACAAGCUUAGAGCUGGAAUUUUCUGUAAUAAUUUCCCCUUCCUCUCCACUUUUCAUUACAUUAGGCUUAGCAACUGCUGAGAGAAAGCAUCCCAGCCUAAAUUGCUCCCCUGCCUUUAUGAGCAGCUUGAGCUUCAGAAAUUAACAAGUUGAACAUGAACAGAAGCAAGUUGCUGUCAAAGGCAUUGGGAGAAAGUCCUGCGAACCCUACUGAGGGCACAAUGCUAUACUGUACACAAGAACUUCCGGAUUUCAUAAAAGCUUCCCUUUACUAAAG
rnacentral:lncRNA from 1 species